CCCCUCCAUCUUGACUGUAUACAGGUAGCAGCCCUGUGUCUACGCCUACAGAGUUCCCUCCAUCUCUGCUGGAUAAUGACAGCUGCAGCUCGUAACUCCAAGUACCGCUGCCUCUCUAAGUGAGCACGCCAGGACGCUUGAAGAAGGGAAGCUGCACUAGCCAUGAUGAAAGCAUCUUUCUCCACAGCCGCAUUUCUAACUUGCUUCUGAUUUAGAUAGUUCCUCCAGAAUCGCUAAGGGAAAUGAAAAGAGAAAAUGGCUGUCACAUUACCACUCGUUAAAUAGAAGAGUAAAAUGGCUCUUUCAUAUGGAGAAUCUCUUUCUCAUCCUACCUGAAUAAUAACAGACGCCUGUCUCAAGUGAAGGAACUGCUGCCUAGAGAGCAAGACCCUGAACCACCGCUGCAGCAGUAUGAUUCUGCGAAGCACUUCCUGAUGAAGCAGAUCCUGUAAGUGCUGUCGUUCAUGCUCCUUUAGGAACACCUAUCAGAAGGAAGACAAGGAAUAAAGCUUAAGAAAAAAUG
rnacentral:sRNA from 1 species